rnacentral:rRNA from 1 species
UGGGGAAUUUUGGACAAUGGACGCAAGUCUGAUCCAGCCAUGCCGCGUGCGGGAAGAAGGCCUUCGGGUUGUAAACUGCUUUUGUACGGAACGAAACGGCUCUGGUUAAUACCUGGGGCUAAUGACGGUACCGUAAGAAUAAGCACCGGCUAACUACGUGCCAGCAGCCGCGGUAAUACGUAGGGUGCGAGCGUUAAUCGGAAUUACUGGGCGUAAAGCGUGCGCAGGCGGUGAUGUAAGACAGAUGUGAAAUCCCCGGGCUCAACCUGGGACCUGCAUUUGUGACUGCAUAGCUAGAGUACGGUAGAGGGGGAUGGAAUUCCGCGUGUAGCAGUGAAAUGCGUAGAUAUGCGGAGGAACACCGAUGGCGAAGGCAAUCCCCUGGACCUGUACUGACGCUCAUGCACGAAAGCGUGGGGAGCAAACA